UGUAUGCCUCGUCCUGGUUCCUCACACUGUUUCUGACCACCUUCCCACUCCCCGUCGCCACGCGGGUCUUCGACAUCUUCAUGUAUGAGGGGCUGGAGAUCGUGUUCCGAGUGGGCCUCGCCCUGCUGCAGGUGAACCAGGCGGAGCUGAUGCAGCUGGACAUGGAGGGGAUGUCCCAGUACUUCCAGAGAGUGAUCCCCCACCAGUUCGACAGCUGCCCGGACAAGCUGGUCCUCAAAGCCUACCAGGUCAAGUACAACCCCAAGAAGAUGAAGAGGCUGGAGAAGGAGUACGCAGCCAUGAAGAGCAAGGAGAUGGAGGAGCAGAUCGAGAUCAAAAGGCUUCGGACGGAGAACCGGCUCCUGAAACAGCGGAUUGAAACCCUAGAGAAGAGAUAGUCCACUGCGUUAGUGACAAGUGGUUCUUGUCUGUCUCCCCUCUCCUGUCCCCGCGCCUUCCGCUCUGCCUCCUCCCCCUGUCGCUGGGAACCCCCUUCGCCGGGUAGGAGAGCGCUGCUCUGGCUGAUAGGUUAAUCCAGGUACUGUAGCUUUUUAUCCCCUCUCCGGAUUCCUUCCUGGCCCCUUCCCUGCACCCUGCACAUGACAGCCAGUAACUGCCUCUUCCCUGCCAUUCUGCGGGCAGGCCUGGCGCCAUGCAUGGAGCAGCUGGGGACCGCUUCUGGGGGACACAGAGGCUUCCCGGGGGGCGGGGCAUGUGAAGUGGGGAGAAGGGUGUGUGUGGAGGGGCUGUGAGUGCGUUUGGGUGUGAAUGUCCACACACAUGUACAGAAAGCUUCCUCCGGGCGACACAGGGUGGGGACCCAGGAGGGCUGGGGAACCUAAAACCAUAUUCACAUAAGGCCCUGGUGUGUGCAGUGCUGCGGUCACACACACGCACAACACGCACAACACAUGCACACACACAUGCACACACGUGCCCCGGCCCUCACGCUGCUGCUCUCUGCUCCUACCUGCAAUGCCUGCUACCACCUUCUCUAGCUCACCUGCUCCUGCUGCCACCUCAUCUUGAAUGGCUUUAUCUGGAAGCUGCCACCCGCCACCUGGUGGCUUUGAGCCUGGAAUGGGGGGCCCAAGUUGGGAAGGGGACAAAGAUGAGGUGGGGGAAAAGAAGGGGGUCUUAGCCCCAGGCAGGUGGAGGCCACAGAGCCUAGGACUAGAGAAGAUGCCCCUGGGAGAGGUGAAUGCCCCCGGGAGCCCAGCCCUGUCCUCAGCUGUCCCCAGAUCCUCACCCUCACCAGCAGAGUCUGGCAUGAAUAGGCACAGGUGGCCUCGCUGUGCCCCUGGAUAAGGACCCCAACUGGGGCAGAGACUGAGAGCCAGAGUGGGGAAGGAGAUGGAGCUCUCCAAGCCCAGGGCUAGCUCUGUUCCUCCCGGGCUCCUCCAGGUGUCCUAUUCCUGCCUGUCACCCACCCACGUCCCCAGGCCCAGUGGGACGCUCAUCCCAGGCUCUGAGUACGGGAGGCCCCCACCUCACUUCCCCCCACCUCCACUCUCUGGGCCUCCCCCUGUGGCGGGAGGCAGGGCCUUGGGUGGGAGUCGAGGGUCACGGCCUCCCCCUGCCCCCUGUCCUCGCUGUUCUCAGGGGCAAGUGACACGGGCGCAGGAGGCGGAGGAGAACUAUGUCAUCAAGCGGGAGCUGGCGGUGGUGCGGCAACAGUGCAGCUCGGCAGCUGAGGACCUGCAGAAGGCCCAGAGCACCAUCCGGCAGCUACAGGAGCAGCAGGUACAGGCGGGUGUGCGGGGCUGCUGGGCGGGGCCAUGCCCCGCGCCCCCGCCCCCGCCUCCGCCCCCGCCCCCGCCCAACGGUUUUCUUUCAGGGCUCAUAUCUGCCCCGCCUCAGCACCUGGCCCUCCUGUUCCUUUCUGGGGUAAGGGGAACCCAGAGACAAGCGCAGAUUCUCCCCCAGCAGCUCCACAUUGUGAGACAUCCUGAUAUCCAUUUCUUGCCACCUCGUAGUGUGUCUGCAGUAUCUGACUUCCCAACCCCCAGUCUCAGCACGGAGGCCUCUGAAGACCGGGCUGUCCCUGCAGGGUUUCCUCUGUGUCACAGGCAGCAGACAGGGCUGUGACUCCUUACGGAGGCCCUUACCUCUCCCCAGGGUCUGAAGGAUUGUUUGGUGUCCCUGGGGGGCCAGCCAUGAAGAAUGGGAGCAGGGCAGUCCGGGACUGUUUGGGCAGCUCUGAGCCAGCAGGGUGGGGCUGAGGGGGCACCCUGAGUGUCUUGUGGGCCAUGAACUUUGGGUCCCAUGAUGGGCAGGCCCAUGAGCUGGGACCCCACCCCAAGAUUUGCUUCUCCUGAAAGCUUUUAGAACUUAACUUCGACCUGGUGCCGUGGCUCACGCCUUUAAUCUCAGCACUUUGGGAGGCUGAGGCGGGCAGAUCACCUGAGGUUAGGAGUUUGAGACCAGCCUGGCCAACAUGAUGAAGCCCCAUCUCUAAUAAAAAUACAAAAAUAAGCUGGGUAUGGUGGUGCGUGCCUGUAGUGCCAGCUACUCAGGAGGCUGAGGCGGGAGGAUCACUUGAACCCGGGAGGUGGAGGUUGCAGUGAGCCAAGAUGGCACCACUGCACUCCAGCCUGGGUGACAGAGCAAGACUCCAUCUC
rnacentral:sRNA from 1 species